rnacentral:lncRNA from 13 species
UAGACAAGCGUUCGCGGUACUGGCUGGCUUACAUUCGCCUACAAGGUGGUCACGGUUUGACCAAGUUUGGGAGCCCUAUGUCAUCUCCCCCAGUCGGUAGCUAACCAGCUUCGUCGGGCAACUAUGGGGUGGGGAUUUUAAGGAACACAAUCCAAACCUGCAUGGGGAUAUAUGGAAACCUGAUUGGCCCAGUUGAGAAGCUGUUCUGUACAAAACCUCCUGAAUGUGUGGGUGGUAGAGGGUGUUGUUCUCAGAUACCCUGGAUACACACGUUUUGGUAAGCAAAUAGAUGUCAUAAUUGAUGUAAAUUUGAUGUCACCACAAUAGGGAAGUGUGUAUGUUUACUGCACUUUGUUAUGCUCUAGGCUUUUCUCUCAUGUUAUUAUUGUCUCA